rnacentral:lncRNA from 1 species
CUGCAAAGUAAAAGAUGUAAUGCUCUUCACUGAAGUGCUGAACUACUAUCUGAAAACAGUUUGGCCUGCCAAAUAAACUGUCAUGUACUCCAUAGACUGAACACACACUAAGAUCUAUUAGUCCUUUAGGUUUUGUGGCUCGUUUUUCACUUUCAAAAUAAAUAAGCUGAGAAUCAUUUCCCUCCAAUAUAAAAUACAAGUUCUUCCAUCUCUUCCCUUUGCUUUUUUUUAGAAGAUAACCUUUUUUGACAAUAUUUUUAUAAAAACCAUCCUUUGUUUUGUGACGAAUUGUAUUGUAGAUUUCUUUUCCGUCCACUGUAUUAUUAAGCACUUGUUCUUGAUGCUGCAUUGGAAUAGGAUCUUUAAGGUAAUAACCUUCAACAAUCUGUUCUUUCUUAUAAUGUUCAAUGAUCUCAGCAAUACUGUU